rnacentral:rRNA from 1 species
UACGGAGGGUGCGAGCGUUGUCCGGAAUCAUUGGGCGUAAAGGGCGCGUAGGCGGCCUUCUAAGUCGAACGUGAAAUCCCCGGGCUCAACCCGGGAACUGCGUCCGAUACUGGAAGGCUUGAAUCCGGGAGAGGGAUGUGGAAUUCCAGGUGUAGCGGUGAAAUGCGUAGAUAUCUGGAGGAACACCGGUGGCGAAGGCGACAUCCUGGACCGGUAUUGACGCUGAGGCGCGAAAGCGUGGGGAUCAAACAGG